rnacentral:misc_RNA from 1 species
AAGUGCUUGUAUGUAACGAAUUGCUUCCGGCGUAUUUCUGCCCAGAGUCAUCCCUACUUUGUGCCGCGCCGCACGCCACCCCCUGGAGGAGACUCACGCCUCGGGACAGGAAACCAUGUCCAUGUCCGCAUGUAGAGUGACUCCUUUUUCGGCGGGCCUGCAGUUUACGAGGAAAGACGUCCACGAACCUCCUGCAGAUACUGCUGUCGAUAAUAAAAGCGGCGUAUCUGAUGGAGAGCCUCAAGCGGCCGGUAGAACACCAGUGAGGGAAGAGGCUCGCUGCUUUGAGUCGGAGGAAGAGCGACUCCUGUGGAAAGCCGCCAGGCUGCGCCACAGCAUCGAAACGGACUUGGUGCCACGACAGGAGUUGGCCGAGCGCGCCCUUCGACACGGUCGUCGGCAACUUGUGAAGCUACAGCGCCUCUUGCCGAGUGCGGCUUUCCUGACGUUCCGACAGAAGUGUGCCGCGUGGUGUGAUCGGCUGCGCCUCUUCGAAGAGCUUGUGGUGCGCACCAUGUUGAGGGAAGCUGUGGACGGCGCCGCACGAAGUGGCGAUGUGAAGGCACCUGCCCGAUGGCGGAAGUCGAAUCAAUGGCCGGCCAUCACCAAUUUUCUGGAGUUGCAGUUGCAUUUGUGUUUCGCAGUCAAGGGCAGCGCUGCGGUAGAAGCCUCUUCGCCAGAGCAGUCGACCCGCGAGAACUCUGCGGUUUACCGACAUCUGGCCGCGAUCUGGGCAGCGCAGCAAGAGCGUCUUCUGACAUGUGACCUUCUUCAUCGCUAUUACACAUUAAGGGACAUUUUGCAUGGCUGGGGAAAUGCCUGGCACGUGAGGGCGUCUUGUGCUGACGACGGCGACAACGUCAGCUCCACUGCACGCAGUCGUCUGCCACAUGAGCCGGACGGCUCAUGCAUCUGCCCGUUCACCGCGUGGGAGAGUCUCUCUGAAGUGGAUCGACUCACAAGCUACUCAAAAAUAUGCUCCCACCACCUCACCGAAGACGUGGUGGAGUGCUUGGAGGCGCUCAUGUUCACGCACUUUGCGGACGUGUGGUGCCAUGUCGAGUCCGUCAUGAGCGGUGUAAGCACGUAGUCGAACGUAUCUGCGGUGCGGCUGCAUGUCGAUGAUGAUCUCCGAGCAUUUCCGUUUCGAAGUCAACCCUCAUCGCUUCACAAAUGGCCGUGCAUCCGCCCCCUCACCCUCUCUUCUGUCUUGCCUCUGGUAACGAGAGCGUACCUUCCCUUCGCGAGAAUGCCGCUGUGCUGACUCUCAUCCAUCUCCGCCAACUACCGCUCAUCUCUCGUGUUCUCUGUCCUUUGGGUCGAGACAAUCAUGUACUCAAGCGCCUUUGUGCCUUCCUGUCUCACCCUCGCUUCCCGCCCCUCUUACGCGCCUCCUCUCCGUUUCGAGCAGUGCUGUCGGUGUGCACGCGCGUCUGAACGGAUGUGCGCGUGCGCUUGACCAUUGCGAAACCCUGGGGUAGCAGCCAAGGCGAUGGGCGCGUUGAAGUGCGGGUGCUGCACUGGACUGCUAGUGGACAACGAUGUUCAAAUCGAAAUCGGAAAAGAGAAGCGACGGACAGGACUUAUGGGAGGGGCACAUCUUUCUAGGGCGUACGAACAGGUAGACACGUGCUGACAGACCUAUGCGACCGCUUUGCUCUCGUCGAGAGUGCUCGUGAUCCAUCCGAGACGUGGCGCGCCUCCGAGCGAGGCCGCUCCGGCUACCUCGGGCAUCACUCCUUCGCCAUAUGACCCCACACGCUCUCGUGUUCCACCUCUCCUUUCCGUGCUAUCCUCUUGUUUUUCUAUACGUGUUCGUGUGUCGUACGUCUAG